rnacentral:lncRNA from 1 species
UGUUUCCUUUUUUGUAGUUUAAGUGGUUAAAUUGGAGACACAGAGGAUUUAGCAGCACGAGCUCAACAGGUUAGCAUGGGUUCCAUGGGUGCUUUGCAACCCAUUGCAGUUGGCGCCCCCUGGUGGACACAGCCGGAACUGCAGCAGCAGCGGCUCGCGCCCGGAACCGCGUGGGGCCGUUUCCUAUUUCCCUCCCCACAGGAGAAAAGAGUCGAUGGGAUCGAUCGAAUCGAGUAAAAAUCUCGUUUUUUUACUGUUAAGAUGCUGAAAUUUGACCGAAAAGCUUCACCGGGAGUGAUCUCUCCCUGUCUGCUUGCUGUGUGUGGUAAAUAAUCCAGGUGUAGCAAAAGAAGGAAAACCCCACCACGAUGCUUCUCUGCAGCACCCAGUGGCCUUUAAUCUGUUUUCCUGACCUAGAGCUUCAGGCCAGGAUAAUGCAGCAGAUAUGCAACUGCAGGUUGUGGCUUGUAGGGAACUCAACCAAAUGGACUCUUGACCAUUUCUCAGAAGUAAAGGGGGAGAAACACUGUGGAUGGGUGUAAAUAAAGAGAAACCUAACGCUCCUAAUAAAUAUUAUUAGAGCCACCA